rnacentral:rRNA from 1 species
GACGAACGCUGGCGGCGUGCUUAACACAUGCCAGUCGAACGGAAAGGCCCUGCUUUUGUGGGGUGCUCGAGUGGCGAACGGGUGAGUAACACGUGAGUAACCUGCCCUUGACUUUGGGAGAACUUCUGGAAACUGGGGCUAAUACCGGAUAGGAUCUCCUGCUGCAUGGUGGUGGUUGGAAAGUUUCGGCGGUUGGGGAUGGACUCGCGGCUUAUCAGCUUGUUGGUGGGGUUGGGGCUUACCAAGGCUUUGACGGGUAGCCGGCCUGGGAGGGUGACCGGCCACAUUGGGCCUGAGAUACGGACCAGACUCCUACGGGCGGCAGCGGUGGGGAAUAUUGCACAAUGGGCGGAAGCCUGAUGCAGAAGCGCCGCGUGCGGGAUGACGGCCUUCGGGUUGUAAACCGAUUUCGCCUGUGACGAAGCGUGAGUGACGGUAAUGGGUAAAGAAGCACCGGCUAACUACGUG